CCCUAGCCCUGAUUGAAGCGGCAUCCUUUUUUGACAUUGCGUUUCCGAAUUUUCCGACAGGUUUGUUCACCUAGUUCGCAAUGGCAAAAAAGAUAUAGCGGAAAGCAGGUUCCCGG
rnacentral:sRNA from 1 species